rnacentral:rRNA from 1 species
UAAUACGUAGGAGGCGAGCGUUGUCCGGAGUUACUGGGCGUAAAGGGCCUGUAGGCGGUCGGUGGCGUCUGCGGUGACAGCUCCCGGCUCAACUGGGAGAGGGCUGAACAGAUACGCACCGACUUGAGGACUGGAGAGGGAAGGGGAAUUCCGCGUGGAGCGGUGAAAUGCGUAGAGAUGCGGAAGAACACCGAAGGCGAAGGCACCUUCCUGGGCAGUACCUGACGCUGAGGGGCGAAAGCCAGGGGAGCGAACGGGAUUAGAUACCCCGGUAGUCCUGGCCGUAAACGAUGACCACUAGAUGCACGCGGGCUCGACCCUGGGUGUGUCGCAGUUAACGCACUAAGUGGUCCGCCUGGGGAGUACGGUCGCAAGACUAAA